UACGGGGGGGGCAAGCGUUGUUCGGAAUUACUGGGCGUAAAGGGCUCGUAGGCGGCCAACUAAAUCGGAUGUGAAAUCCCCAGGCUUAACCUGGGAACUGCAUCCGAUACUGGAUGGCUUGAAUCCGGGAGAGGGAUGCAGAAUUCCAGGUGUAGCGGUGAAAUGCGUAGAUAUCUGGAGGAAUACCGGUGGCGAAGGCGGCAUCCUGGACCGGCAUUGACGCUGAUGAGCGAAAGCUAGGGGAGCAAACGGG
rnacentral:rRNA from 1 species